UACGUAGGUGGCAAGCGUUAUCCGGAAUGAUUGGGCGUAAAGGGUGCGCAGGCGGAACCAUAAGUCUGAAGUAAAAGCCAUCGGCUCAACCGAUGUAAGCUUUGGAAACUGUGGAUCUGGAGUGCAGGAGAGGACAGUGGAAUUCCAUGUGUAGCGGUAAAAUGCGUAGAUAUUAGGAGGAACACCAGUGGCGAAGGCGGCUUACUGGACUGUAACUGACGUUGAGGCUCGAAAGCGUGGGGAGCAAACAGG
rnacentral:rRNA from 1 species